rnacentral:lncRNA from 1 species
AAAGCAAACCUAAAGUGGUAAAAGCGGCAUUCAGUUUAAGAUGCCCUAUAGCAUGAAAAUUGGCAUGAUAACACACAUACAGAGAUUGGAAAUAUACCAGAGCCUCUAAAAUUUCAUAUCUUUUUAAAGUGAGGGAAUAGAGAGUAUAAAUUUAAAUGACAGCCUGGGUUAGAAAAUAGCUUAAUGAUUAGAAUGUACCAAAUGAUACAACAGCUGCCUUUUGUCUCAAGGAUAGAGCAUUAAUAGCAAUCAGCAAAUGGUUUCUACGCUUGCAUGAUAUAUAUUAAAUGUUCUAGGACCUCGUGGACCAGUGAAAAUUCCUCAGUGCAUCAGCUGCUUCGGACUUCUGGCUAUCUGCUUGUCAUAUUUUGGUAAUUCUUAAAAUAGUUCAAACAUUGCACCAGCAAAAAGAUUAUGACUCACUGAAGGCUUGGAUGAUGGUUAGCAUUUUUUAGCAAUAUAAUGUUUUUUAAUUAAGCUUUGGGAAAAAAUAAAACCCGGAAGAGGAAAGAGCCUGAUGCUUUGGAGAAUUGCUAACCAUCAUGAUUCACACAUACUGCAGCAACAUGGAUGGAACUAGAAACUCUCAUACUGAGUGAAGUAAGUCAGAAAGAGAAGGACAAAUACCAUAUGAUAUCACUUAUAUCUGGAAUCUAAUAUAAGGCACAAAUGAAUCUUUCCACAGAAAAGAAAAUUUCAGUUUCCCAAACAACCAAAGGCACCUGAUUUGUGAAACUGAUCCGUGAAGUCCAGGGACAAAUUAUCCUGACUGUGAGGAUAGCCUCAGUUAAGACAACUAUGUAGCCAAAAGCACCAACUGCCUUAGUGACAAAGCUUAUAGGUUUUCUUCUCUAUCAGUGAAUGAAUCAGUAUCCACAAUAUUGCACAAAUACUUGUCUGUUUUUUAAUGGGAAAUACAUUUUCUCUGCUUUCAGAUAUAUUUUCAAGUCAAGAAAUUCAGAAAAAGAAAUUAAAAAAUCAUCUCACUACUUAGGAAAAAAACAAUUCAAUCAUUUAAUAAUAUAUGUGACUCAGUUCUUUUUUUUUCUUUCCAUUACAUUUUUUGUGUGUGUGCCUUUUUGUUUUUUUCCCUCAGGGCUGCAUCCAUGGCUUAUGGAAGUUCCCAGUCUAGGGCUCAAAUUGGAGAUGUGGUUGCCGGCCUGCACGACAGCCAGAGCAACGCCAGAUCCGAGCCUCAUGUGACCUGCACCACAGCUCAUGGCAAUGGCAGAUCCUUAACUUACUGAGCAAGACCAGGAAUUGAAUGUGAAUCCUCGUGGAUACUAGUCAAGUUUGUUACGGCGGAGCCACAAUGGGAGCUCCACCAGUACAUUUAAGUACAUAUACAGUGUAUCUAAAAUCAUAUGCCCUUACUCAUUUAAACUUUUUUUAACUUAAUAAUUUUACCAAUAUUUAAAUAUUCUUCUAGAAGAAAAUUUUAAGUGCUAUAUUGUAUUGUAACAAAUAACUGAAAAGACAUUUACAUUGUGUAGACUUAUUGAAUUCUUUAGCGCAGGAAAUUGUUUUUCUCCUGUUUUUCAGUAUAAUGAAAGUGAAUUUUAAUAGAAAAUUAUGGCCAAUAAGGGAAUUAUCAGAUACGAUAACUUAUUUUUAAAAAUUUAUGUUGUUCAGUUGUCCUCCAGGAUAUUAUAAUUUACAUUUAUAGCAGAACCUUUAAAGGGCUCUUAUUUCUUUACUUGCAGGAAACUUGGGUAGUAUUUCUGUGUUAUAUGAGACAUAUAAAUUAGCUUUUCUGUGACUUGUACCUCAUGAGCAAAAUGGGGAAAAUACUAGUAUCUAUCUGCGUCAGGCCUCUGAUGUUCUUGAUGGUAAAUUUAGAUUAGGGAAAUAUUAUUUUGUUGUUAUUUUGAUUUUAGAAUCAGUAUACACAUUUUCUAAUUGCCUAGAUCCUUCUUAAGCGUUUAUAUUUAACUUAUGAUUUUUCUUAUUUACAAGGCUAAGAAAUUUGAAAAACAUUUUAAAAUGGCCUUUGAAUAAUACUUGGUAUCAUUAAUGUAUACAAUUGAAUUAAGGCAGAAUGCUUAAAAUACAAUUUAUACCGUUUGUAAUCAUUUUAACUCAUUCAAUUAUUUGAUUUAAAAUAUUUAUAGGAACUUAAGAAUUGAAAUUAUAAAAACUUAUCAGUAUGGCAAAAGUGUUAUAAAUGUAAUACUGUGCAUAAACUUAAUAAAAUUUCAAAUUAAAAUGAAAAGUCUGCAGUUCCCGUUGUGGCGCAGUGGAAACAAAUUCGACUAGGAACCAUGAGGUUGCGGGUUUGAUUCCUGGCCUCGCUCAGUGGGUUAAGGAUCCUACAUUGCUGUGAGCUGUGGUGUGGGUCGCAGAGGCAGCUAGGAUCUGGCAUUGCUGUGGCUGUGAUGUAGGCCAGUGGCUGCAGCUCUGAUUAGACCCCUAGCCUGGGAACCUCCAUAUGCCAUGGGUGUAGCCUUAAAAAUAAAGGCAAAAAAAAUAAUAAUAAUAAAAUAAAAUGGAAUAAAAUGAAAAGUCUAAAUAGAUAACUAAACAACAUAUUUGAAAUUGUAAUUAUGAAGCUAUUUUAUUAAAUUUACGGGUCAGAUUUUCUUAAAAUAACUACUUGUACUUAACUUAUCUCUGAGGAAUAAAGGAAAAUAAGAAAUAAUAGGAAAAUAAUAGAGCAUUUGUUUUUCUCAAAUAUCUCUUCAUCAAACUCUAAACUUUCCUGGUUUACAAUUUGAUUAUCCAUAAGUAUAUAAUUUGAUUAUGUUUUGGGACAUAUCUUAUCAGUACAAUAUUUUUAGUUCUUUAAAAAAUAUUUUAUUUAAAAUUAAUGUAAAAUAAAACUGACUCUUAAGUGAUCUAUAGUUCUACGAAUUUUAUCACACGUAUAGAAUUGUAUAACUCCACCAGAAUUGGAAUAUAGAAGAUUUCUGUUAUCACAUCUUCCAAAAUUCCCUGGUGUUGCCCUUUCUAGUCACACAUUGCCACUGCCUUUACCCCUGGAAAUGACCCAACCAUUCUCUCUCAUCAGUUUUUUUUUGCUAGAAAGUCAUGUAAAAGAAAUCAUAGAGUAUGUAAUUUUUAAAGACUGGUUUAAUUGCUUAAAAGAUUUUUACUUUUAUUUUUUAUUAUUAUUAUUAUUAUUUUUUGUCUUUUUGCCUUUUCUAGGGCCGCUCCCACGGCAUAUAGAGGUUUCCAGGCUAGGAGUCCAAUCAGAGCUGUAGCCACCAGCCUACACCAGAGCCACAGCAACACGGGAUCAUUGCCGUGGCUGCGACCUACACCACAGCUCACGGCAGCACCAGAUCCUUAACCCACUGAGCAAGGCCAGGGAUCAAACCCACAACCUCAUGGUUCCUAGUCGGAUUCCUUAACCACUGUGCCACGACGGGAACGCCUAAAGAUUUUUAAAUACAGCCCCAUUAUUGUGUUCAUCAAUUGUUCUUUCAUUUUUAUUGUUAGUACUCCAUUGUAAGGAUCAACACAGUGUUUAUCCCUUCACUCACUGAAGGACAUUGCAUUGUUUUCACUUUGAGAUGAUUAUGAAUAAAGCUAUUCUAAAC